UACGUAGGUGGCAAGCGUUAUCCGGAAUUAUUGGGCGUAAAGCGCGCGUAGGCGGUUUUUUAAGUCUGAUGUGAAAGCCCACGGCUCAACCGUGGAGGGUCAUUAGAAACUGGAAGACUUGAGUGCAGAAGAGGAAAGUGGAAUUCCAUGUGUAGCGGUGAAAUGCGCAGAGAUAUGGAGGAACACCAGUGGCGAAGGCGACUUUCUGGUCUGUAACUGACGCUGAUGUGCGAAAGCGUGGGGAUCAAACAGGAUUAGAUACCCUGGUAGUCAAGGGCG
rnacentral:rRNA from 1 species